rnacentral:rRNA from 1 species
UGAGCAAUCUGCCCUUCUCUUCGGAAUAAGCGUUGGAAACGACGUCUAAUGCCGAAUACGACCUCCUUUCGCAUGAUCGGAGGUGGAAAGCUCCGGCGGAGAAGGAUGAGCUCGCGGCCUAUCAGCUAGUUGGUGUGGGUAAUGGCCCACCAAGGCGACGACGGGUAGCCAGCCUGAGAGGGUGACCGGCCACACUGGGACUGAGACAUGGCCCAGACUCCGUAGGGAGG